ensembl:lincRNA
CCUGGGCACUCACGUCGCUGGGCUGCCGCAGUGACUAGCCACGCGGCUGGACCCCUCUAUCUGGUUCACGCCAGGAAGGACUCCUGGGCGGAAGAGGAGAGGAAGGCAACUCAGCCUGCCCCACUGCGGCUGCUGGAGUGGCAGGCCAAGUGCCCGCCCCAUCUCGUAAUUUUGUUUACAGCAAAGCAGUUAGCCCUGCCCCUCUCCCCGCCUCAGAAAGGCUGCAGGAAGCUCCGGACAAAAGGAGCUCAUGGGAAAUGACAAAGACAGUUUUGGAGCGAUAACGUCAUCCAUCCUGCCCCAGGAAGGCCUGGCCUGGGCUCUAGCCAAGUGGCGGGACCAGGAUGACCAUCCCUUAAACGAUGCUGUGCCUCGGGAGGCUGAGCUGGCUUUCAUGUUCAAAGGAUUCAUUGAAGACUUAGGACGUGGGCCUGCUCCGAUCGGCUCUGUCUUCAGUUCUCACGGCCAAGGCACGGCUGGCUCAAAAAAGGGGGUGUGUUCCCCUCCCCUCUCUACCCCCACCUCCUCUCCUGUCCACGGGCCUGUCAGCUGCGUCAGGAAUCCCAAGGGCGAGGAAAAGAAUGCAAAUCAGGAGUGGCGGAGCUGCGGGUGCCCUGGCAGAGGUUAGCUGGCGGGUUUUCUAGGACUUUUCUUCCCAGCAGACACACAUCCCCUAAGACCACCUUCAGGCUUGAAAAGCAAACCCUACCAGCCACACUGGUCUUUGAGGCCAGGGCCGGAGAGAAAAGAAAAAAAAUGUUUUGAAAUCUGUAUUCAGCCAGUGUGGCCUGAAAUUCAAUAUUCCAGGGGAGGGUGCAUGUUCCUUCCCCUCCUGGGAGACAGUGGGGUGCCACUGAGCACCGUCCCAGCUCAAGACCUCAGGACGGGCUGGCUGGGUUCAUCCCGCCCAAGGACAGGGUCUACCAGCGCGGGCUGUGAACUGCAGGGGCUGCGGCUGCGCCCUGACGUGGCGACGGCCCACGGUAGCGACAGGCAAUAAACCGAGGCAGCGCUGUUGGGAGUUUGUGACAGGGACCCCUUGGCUCAGGUGGGUGCACAAAGAGGUGUCGGUGCUGGGGCAGCCCAGGAAGUCCACACCAAGAGGGGGGCACGGCACAUCCUACGGGAGAUGUGACGCGGGGCGUGAGGAGCAGCUGAGCCCGCUGCUGCCUCCGCGCUGAGAUGCUGGGGGGUUCGCAGACCUCCCAGGCCCCGGCUGGCAGGAGCCAGUCUCCGCUAAUCUCGGGGCCACCCCCCUCGUCACCGUCCCCUUCACAGUCCCCUCGCCCACCCCUUAUGUUUUGCUGGCUCACCCUUUCCUGCAUGGGUGGCAUGGGCACGCAUGCAAGGGCUACUCACCUAGGGCGACCCUCCAGCCCUUUUUGCUCCAACCAGCAAAACCCCCCCCCCCCAGCUGAGCUGUCACCGCGCAGGCGGCUCUGAGCCCCUCCCCCCUUUCCCCGUGUCCUCACCGCGAGGCAGGGCCCAGGAGAGCCCCCGUUUUCUGGGCCCGGGGACUUGAUCUGCCCCAGCGGCCCUGCCUUCCUGGGCGCUCCCUGCAGUGGUGCCUUCGGUCCCAAGCUGUGCCUCUGUGACAAGACCUCAGCCUAAGGUCCUUCAGGACACCAGGCGUUUUGCAGGAGUCGGAUUCCUGCUUAGGUGUCGUGCACCCAUUCACUGCACGCCCUGGGCACUGGCUGUGGGUGAUGCAGUGGGGACUGAGCGGACAAAGGGCAGAGCGCGUGCCACACCAAUCGAUCCGCCCCACAACUGUGGGAGGUGUCCUGCUCCACUGAUGCUUUCACCCUUUCUUUCACAAACUUCAGAUAGGGCGCGGCCCACGAGGCGGUGCUGAGCAAACGUUCAUCCAUCACUAUGGUCGAUGGUCUGACUGGUCCAUGAUUCCUCCGUUCUCCCGGUGGUUCUCUGGGCAUGCCCGCUCGAUCCUGGGCAUGGCCAUGAGACUUUCCUUGUCCAGGGGAGUGUGAGCAGAGGGGAGAGGGCACCCCUGGAGCCGAGGUCUUAAGAGGCAUCACAUACUGCCACGUCUUCUUGGACUCUCCCCGUCACCAUGAGAAGCGCUUUCUCUGGGCAGGCAUUGUACCUUCAGCUGGGUCCCAAGAUCGCCCAAAGGGCAACUCGAAGCAUGGCGCCUGGAGCUGAGCUCAGUCGAGUUGCAGCUGACCCACAGACUUGUGAGAAACUAUUGCUAAAAGCCACCAAGAUUCUGGGGUUGUUAGUUAUGCAACACUGCAAAAUAACCUCAGUGUCCAGGCUGCUGUAGAACCUCUCCAAGCUUUAGUUACUUUUCUUCUGCAAACUGGAAGCAACAGAACCUCCUUCUUGCAGGUCCUGGCUCCUUGGAACUCCUGUCCAUAGGUUUCGAAGGAAAUAAAAUAUGAAAGACGCUAAGAACAGAGCCUCGCGCAUAGCAAGUACCUUCUAGACGGUUCUGGCAUCAUCGUCAGUAGUGACACUGCUGCAAGACUCGCCGAUUGGCCCUCUGGAGUGACGAUGAAAUACACUCUCUGGACUCAUCUGUGGCCGUGGUUGUGUAAAGCCAGAGCUCCCUCGACAUCUCUGUCAGCUGGGCUCAGGUCGUAAAUGCUGUCCGAGCUGAAAACAUUCUAACUUGCGUUUCCCACAACAUGUCAAAUGGCACUGUGAUUGCAGGUGCCAAAACCCAUCAGCAGUCCCUCUGUGGGCCGGGGGAACCCAACGCCACAAUCCCGCCGCAGCAUUAAAGAGCAGGUUUCCUCAAGAACAUCAGGUGAGAAGGCUAGUUUAAUGCGAGAAAUAAUAGGCUCCCAAAUGAAAAUUCCAGUUCUGAGAAUUAGGUCAUCCUAAAUGGAGCUCAGAGACCUGGGCCUAAAAAUAGACUAAUCCAUGCAGGGCGGGAGAUUGUGAGGCAGAAGGUCAGAACAGAGAGCCUGCCCAGAGCCGCCCCUCAAGGCCCCCCACUCACGGAGCGGGGUCUAGAGAGUCUACCCACCAUCGGAGGAAGAGUGCCUGGGGAGCCUGCCUCCCAGGGUUGUCUCACGUGGGUUUCCACUUCAAAUUUAUCCCAGGAGACCCCAAGCCGAGAAAUUAAUAAGAAGUGGUUUUGAGUAGGUGGUCUCUCCAGGGCCUCUGGAGGGAUGUCCCACACCCGACUCAAGCCCCAGGCAGGACCCAGGACCCAGGGCACAGCCCAUGCAACAGGGGUUCCCAAUUCCAAGUCGUAAAACAGAAUACCAACACAAAACUCCAUGAGCCAGAGCCAGGCAAGUCGACAAACGCAGAACGAGGUUCUUAGAACAGAUCAUAGAAGUAUUAAAUGCAGAAUAUAAAAUCAAUAUGCUUAAAAUAAAGAGGUAGUGUAAUAUAAUAAUAUAGAGGCUAACUCUGCAGGAUUAUUCUGGUCAAGGUACUUAAUCUCUGUGCCUCAGUUUCCUUAUCUGUCAGUGGAUCCCUGAGGUCUGCAUUUUCAAAGUACUGAGGGAUUCUGAGUCUCACUCACUCCUGAGAGCCACUGCCCGGCACCCGGUCAGGAGUGUCCCUGGACAUUGGUGUGCUCCUGCCUGCAGCAGAGUCGUCCUUUCCCUCACCUGUCCCCUCCUCUCACCGUCCAAGGAACACAGGGCAAGGGGCAGGGGUGACCUUGUGUGGGUCACUCCCAGGCUGAGGCCACCAGGAACCUUGUGCUCAGGGCGAGAGGAGGAGGUGAGCUACUGGGUCAGAGGGCACGGGUGGCCGCAGCCGGCACCGCGGCCCGAGAUGACCACGUGCCCACGGUGAGCAUCCAGGAGCUGCACGAAAGGGGCCGGCUGAGGUGCAAGACCGAGGACGGCCUGGUGGGCUUGGCCACUGCUGACAGCCCCCGUCACCAAAGCAAGGGAGGAGGGCAGGAGGGCACACGAGGCGGCUGAGGUUAGCAAGACGCUGGCACCCUCGGGGUGAUGGGAAACUGCCCCGGCACCUGCAGACCUCAGUGCCGCUGGCGCACCCGGCAGGGC